ACGGGAGGCAGCAGUGGGGAAUAUUGCACAAUGGGCGCAAGCCUGAUGCAGCGACGCCGCGUGAGGGAUGACGGCCUUCGGGUUGUAAACCUCUUUCGCUAGGGACGAAGCGCAAGUGACGGUACCUGGAGAAGAAGCACCGGCCAACUACGUGCCAGCAGCCGCGGUAAUACGUAGGGUGCGAGCGUUGUCCGGAAUUACUGGGCGUAAAGAGCUCGUAGGCGGUUUGUCGCGUCGUCUGUGAAAUUCUGCAGCUUAACUGCAGGCGUGCAGGCGAUACGGGCAGACUUGAGUACUACAGGGGAGACUGGAAUUCCUGGUGUAGCGGUGAAAUGCGCAGAUAUCAGGAGGAACACCGGUGGCGAAGGCGGGUCUCUGGGUAGUAACUGACGCUGAGGAGCGAAAGCGUGGGGAGCGAACAGGAUUAGAUACCCUGGUA
rnacentral:rRNA from 1 species